UGCUAUUCAGGAGGUUUUUCAGGCUCCUGAGAUUAAAAGAGUUGGUCUCUUGUGUCUUUCAUUGGAGAAGGAGUUCUAUUUAUCAGGGAGGACCUAUCCAGGAGAGAAGAAAGUGAUCUACCUUGGUGGGGGAUCCUCAUCAGGUUGAGGAGUCUGUAAACCCUCUGAGAAGAGUGUGGUUCCUUCCUAUCCUCAUUACUAAGAUUUGACAGCAUUUGGAACAAAUGUGUAUUCAUGAUAUUCUACCACCCUGAAGCAUGCUGCCAUGGCUCUUUCUAAUGGACCAGAAGUUGAGCCUUUCCUGCCGUACCCUUGUAAAAGAGAAAACAUCGAGACACACAAUACAUGGAAUAUCUUGGGAGCCACAAAAGCAUAUGUUUUCUGUUCUGGAAAAAGCGUUGUUACUUGGUGUUAAUUUCUCUUCUUUUCCUUGCAUCUGUUGGACAAACACUUUGUCCGUGGCAAUCCGUGUAAGAUAACAAACUCACUGCAGGGUGUCUGAGUAUAUGGAAGAAAAAUAACACAGGAACUUGCAGAAAGAGCAACCAGGUGCAGAUGGAGCUGAGGCAGAAAUAUUGGUGACAGAUGUUCUUCCUGGCCUGCUGGAGGAGUAUGCACCAGACAGCAUCUUCAUCAUCCUGUGUGACAUCUCCUGCCUUGGAGAAGUGAGACGUUACAUGAUGACUUUUACAACUGCCUAACGCUGCCAGAGGAAGUGAAGUGCUGCAGCACCUCUGCCUGUAAACACCUUCUCCCAAGCCACUCAGUGGCAGAGGGACCAUAAAGAGAGGAAAGGCCCUUUGGAAAAAACAUGCACCAGCAGAUUAUGCUGCUGACUUGUGAAGCUUGGCAACACCCUCCUCACAAACACCUCCACUGGGCAGGGCACUGUAAAUAAUGGAGGAACUCAUAGUUAUUUGAUCAGAAUAGAAGAUGAGACAGAUGUCCACACCUGCAGAAAAAGAGCUCUUCUAUUUCACAUGAUGUUGUGCAAGGUGGGCUUUACCUUCCUAGAGAGUCAGGAUUUGGUGCAUUUGUCUACACCUUCAUUAGUAAAUAGUGUAAAUGCAUUAAGAAAUGGGUAAAAUGGGUAAC